CACGCCGUAAACGAUGAUCACUCGCUGUUUGCGAUAUACAGUAAGCGGCUAAGCGAAAGCGUUAAGUGAUCCACCUGGGGAGUACGAUCGCAAGGUUGAAACUCAAAGGAAUUGACGGGGGCCCGCACAAGCGGAGGAACAUGUGGUUUAAUUCGAUGAUACGCGAGGAACCUUACCCGGGCUCGAACGGUGCAUGAAUAAGCAAGAGAUUGUUUAGUCCUUCGGGACAUGUAUCGAGGUGC
rnacentral:rRNA from 1 species